GUUUGUUUGAGACUGAAUACACCUGAUCUCAUCUGAUCUGCAAAGCUAAGCAGGGUUGGGCCUGGUUAGUAUUUGGAUGGGAGACUACCUGGGAAUACCAGGUGCUGUAAGCU
ensembl:rRNA 5S_rRNA 5S ribosomal RNA